CCUACGGGGGGCUGCAGUGGGGAAUAUUGCACAAUGGGGGAAACCCUGAUGCAGCGACGCCGCGUGAGUGAUGAAGUAUUUCGGUAUGUAAAGCUCUAUUAGCAGGGAAGAAAAUGACGGUACCUGAUUAAUAAGCACCGGCUAACUCCGUGCCAGCAGCCGCGGUAAUACGGAGGGGGCAAGCGUUACUCGGAAUUACUGGGUGUAAAGGGAGCGUAGACGGGAGCACAAGUCUGGAGUGAAAUGCCGGGGCUUAACCCCGGAACUGCUUUGGAAACUGUGCAGCUAGAGUGAGGGAGAGGUAGGUGGAAUUCCUGGUGUAGCGGUGAAAUGCGUAGAUAUUAAGAGGAACACCCGUGGCGAAGGCGGCUUACUGGACUGUAACUGACGUUGAGGCUCGAAAGCGUGGGGAGCAAACAGGAUUAGAUACCCGGGUAGUC
rnacentral:rRNA from 1 species